GACGAACGCUGGCGGCGUGCCUAAUACAUGCAAGUAGAACGCUGAAGGAGGAGCUUGCUUCUCUGGAUGAGUUGCGAACGGGUGAGUAACGCGUAGGUAACCUGCCUGGUAGCGGGGGAUAACUAUUGGAAACGAUAGCUAAUACCGCAUAAGAGUAGAUGUUGCAUGACAUUUGCUUAAAAGGUGCAAUUGCACCACUACCAGAUGGACCUGCGUUGUAUUAGCUAGUUGGUGAGGUAACGGCUCACCAAGGCGACGAUACAUAGCCGACCUGAGAGGGUGAUCGGCCACACUGGGACUGAGACACGGCCCAGACUCCUACGGGAGGCAGCAGUAGGGAAUCUUCGGCAAUGGACGGAAGUCUGACCGAGCAACGCCGCGUGAGUGAAGAAGGUUUUCGGAUCGUAAAGCUCUGUUGUAAGAGAAGAACGAGUGUGAGAGUGGAAAGUUCACAG
rnacentral:rRNA from 1 species